GUCUACAGCCAUGCCACCCUGAACAAGCCCGAUUCCAUCUGGUCUCAGAAGCUAAGCAGGGUCGGACCUGGUUAGUACUUGGAUGGGAGACCAACUAGGAAGACCAGGUGUGUAGGUG
rnacentral:rRNA from 1 species